GUGAAGCGGGAAGAGCUCAAAUUUGAAAUCUGGUGGCCUCAGGUCAUCCGAGUUGUAAUCUAUAGAAGUGUUUUCCGUGCUGGCUCAUGUACAAGUCCCUUGGAACAGGGCGUCAUAGAGGGUGAGAAUCCCGUCCUUGACAUGAACUACCAGUGCUCUGUGAUACAUUUUCAACGAGUCGAGUUGUUUGGGAAUGCAGCUCAAAAUGGGUGGUAAAUUCCAUCUAAAGCUAAAUAUUGGCGAGAGACCGAUAGCGAACAAGUACCGUGAGGGAAAGAUGAAAAGCACUUUGGAAAGAGAGUUAAACAGUAUGUGAAAUUGUUGAAAGGGAAACGAUUGAAGUCAGUCGUGCUCUUUGGAUUCAGCCGGUUCUGCCGGUGUACUUCCUUUGAGUGGGGUCAACAUCAGUUUUGAUCGCUGGAUAAAGGCUGGAGGAACGUAGUACCCUCGGGUAAACUUAUAGCCUCCUGUCACAUACAGUGGUUGGGACUGAGGAACGCAGCACGCCUUUAUGGCCGGGAUUCGUCCACGUACGUGCUUAGGAU
rnacentral:rRNA from 1 species